rnacentral:rRNA from 1 species
CGGCCCGUAAAGUUUUUGUUUGUGGGGGAAGAAGGGAUAGAAGGUAGUAACUGCCUUUUUAUUGGACGGUAAUCAACCAGAAAGUUCACCGGCUAAAUACGUGCCCAGCAGCCGCGGGUAUUACGUAGGUGGCAAGCGUGGUCGGGAUUUAUUGGGCGUAAAGGGAGCGCAGCGGAAAGAAUAGUUCUGAUGUGAAAGCCCUCGGCUUAACCGAGGAAUUGCAUCGGAAACUGUUUUUCUUGAGUGCAGAAGAGGAGAGUAGAACUCCAUGUGUAGCGGUGGAAUGCGUAGAUAUAUGGAAGAAUACCAGUGGCGAAGGCGGCUCUCUGGUCUGCAACUGACGCUGAGGCUCGAAAGCAUGGGUAGCGAACAGGAUUAGAUACCCUGGUAGUCCAUGCCGUAAACGAUGAGUGCUAAGUGUUGGGAGGCUUCCGCCUCUCAGUGCUGCAGCUAACGCAUUAAGCACUCCGCCUGGGGAGUACGACCGCAAGGUUGAAACUCAAAGGAAUUGACGGGGGCCCGCACAAGCGGUGGAGCAUGUGGUUUAAUUCGAAGCAACGCGAAGAACCUUACCAGGUCUUGACAUCUAGUGCCAUUUGUAGAGAUACAAAGUUCCCUUCGGGGACGCUAAGACAGGUGGUGCAUGGCUGUCGUCAGCUCGUGUCGUGAGAUGUUGGGUUAAGUCCCGCAACGAGCGCAACCCUUGUUAUUAGUUGCCAGCAUUAAGUUGGGCACUCUAAUGAGACUGCCGGUGACAAACCGGAGGAAGGUGGGGAUGACGUCAAGUCAUCAUGCCCCUUAUGACCUGGGCUACACACGUGCUACAAUGGGCAGCACAACGAGUAGCGAGCCUGCGAAGGCAAGCAAAUCUCUGAAAGCUGUUCUCAGUUCGGACUGCAGUCUGCAACUCGACUGCACGAAGCUGGAAUCGCUAGUAAUCGCGGAUCAGCACGCCGCGGUGAAUACGUUCCCGGGCCUUGUACACACCGCCCGUCACACCAUGGGAGUCUGCAAUGCCCAAAGCCGGUGGCCUAACCGCAAGGAAGGAGCCGUCUAAGACAGGGCAGAGAAGGGGG